UACGUCAAUUACAUCUCAAUAUAUCUUUUUUUUUUUUCAAUAUAUCCUUUUUAGAAAAAAAAUGAAAUCCACAGUAAGGUAACUGCAAUUUUAAGAAAAGCAUCAACAAUAAAAAUCAAAGGCCCCAAAGGGGUCCCAGGAUGUGACCCUGUAAGAUGGCUGAAAAGAUGAAAAAAAGGAAAAAAAAAAAAAAGGUAACAGCCUCAUGCAAUCAGGGUGCUAAGAUCAAUUGCGGAUGCUCAAAAAGACAGAAACCCACUUUGUUGGCAUCACCAGUCUUCAUGCCCAGAGUCCUCAUCAUAAUGGUCAGCUAUAAGAAGUUGUUAUAAAAAUAUAUCCUUCUUCUUGUCUUUUUUCAGUUCCUCCAAAAUGAGCAAAUGAAGGAAUGAAUGAAUGAAUACUUGAAUGAAUAAAAGAGCAAUGAGAAGACGAUCUUAAUGUCAUGGAAGAAACUCUCUGAUGUACGAGUGAAUUUUACAGUUCUGGAGGCUGAGAAGUCCAAGAUCAAGGCGCCAACAGAUCCAGCGUCUGGGCAAACCAAGUGGUGCUACAAUGCAGCAACUGUCCCCUUCUGGCUACAGCCAGCCUAGGGUGAAGAUCUGUCUGUAAACCAAGCCCACAGUUUCCUCCUUCCUGGCUACAGGAAACUACCCAUGAGGUCAAAAGUGCGGACUGAAGGAAAAGGGGUGAAAAAAUUAAAGUAUCAUGUGACUCUAAGCCACCUGUCUUGCAGUUUAUUCAUGCCUUCUAAAUCUGCUGAGCCUAAUCUCGUGCACUCCAUUUCCACUUCACAACAAAUAGCUGCUGUGCACAUCAAUUUUAGGUUCAGAAGAUCAGACAGUGCCCAGGUCAGGAUGGACAGUUUGAGUGGGCUACUUCUCUACUGGGGGCUGUAGCAAGCCAGGAGUUAAGUUUCAAAUGUAGAAGGGAAGAGGACAUAGCUUUAUUCCUCAAGCACCCGGGUCUGCACUGUAACUUUUCUAUUAGGGUUUGCCAGAAUUUCCAUCCAACAUCUCCAUUUGCCACAGAUAUGUUCAAUACAUUGCUGUGUGGCAGGGCAGCUUGCAUCACAGCUUGGAUCUGCCAGUCUUUUCUUGCUCUGGGCCCAACUCAAAACUGGUGGGUCAUGGGCCCAGCCAGGUGGCGUAGUGAUUAAGUUCACGUGCUCUGCUUCGGCGACCCGGGGUUCGCAGGU